GUAUACAUUUUUUUUGCAAUACAAGUGAAAAUAUUAGGAGUAUAGUUUGAUAGUUGUUUUGUAUAAAAACUUAGUGGAAAGCAACUGUUUUGUGUUGACUUCACAUUGGUGACAGAAUUGGUUAACUGAUUAUAUUUUAGACUACACUGAUCUAGACUCCUUGCCCAUGGAUUUAACCCCGAAAAAUAAUAUUAUGGUACAAGCUAAAUCGAUUUGUUUAUAAUUGGAGGAAAAAUGACAAACUCUGCAUAUUAAAUGGAUGUGUCCACAGGAAAAUUUCGGUUUCUAUGAAUUAUCCUGGCACCUUUAAAACUGAAACGGAAAAUUUAAGAAUUUCAACGAAAUUUUAUUUGCUCAUUUGGGCAGUUUAGCAGAGAAAUCGUGAAAGUUGACUGAGGGAAAGCAUAAUGAAAUCUGUGAGCUAACAAACAUUAUUAAGGAUAUAAAACUUCUUUGCAGUGGAAAGUUAUGGACGGAGACUGAUCCACCUAGAUCUAACAAGACCGAUAUUGUUAGAAUAAGGACGUUACUUUUAUCACCCAGUUAACUAAAUAUAACUGAAAGCCGUAAUCAUUCUUAUCGAAAGUGAAGAAUGUCUGAGUUAAAUCUAUAUCCCCAACGCACUGCAAGCAGAAGUGCUUUGAGCGACAGCUGCCAAAUAGAGUACUAUUUGUGUGAAAAAUGAUUCCAGAUUUUUUGACAGUGCCAAAAUAUGUUCGAUACAAUAUCCAUCCAGUUUCAGUACAAACAAACAAAUCACUAAAACAUUCUAUGAAGCUCAAACAAAAUGUAUCCAACGUUUCAGUACUCUAUUUAAAGUGCCACUCAUGCUUGAAGUGCGUUUAUAUCUCACAUCGGUAAAAAAAUAACAAAAAUAAGUAUUUUCUCAACACAGUGACGGAAAGUGAAGCUUCCAUUGCCUUUUUUGAACGUUGUGUUUCACUCGGUGAUAAAUGUUUUUUUAGGCACACGAUGGGUUUUGUCACUCUCAGUCUGCGGUCUCCAGUGCCAAUCGACACACCAAGUACCUUAAAGGGCACUUCAGUCGCAUAAUAACCAGUACUGUACUAUGUAAUUUAAGUAAACCGCCGAUUGAGUCGAUUAAGUCGAUUGAGAAAUUUUUGCAAUAAAUGAGUCUUGGACAGACUGAAACCGGUGGAUUUUAGCGACCGAUCUCGAUGCUGUCCUACAAAUUGACCUAAGCUUUUUUUUGUAAUAUCUUGUUUGAAAAUGAUCACUUCUUGUACAUACUCCAGUCGAUUCUAACAAAUUUUAUUACAAAUACAACACCAGAUUAAAUGGAGACAGUCUGCAUUUUCCAUUUAACUAGAUCGUCGAUAGACCUUUCGAACUGCGAUCCGCGUUGCAUAAUUAAUAAUUACGAUUUUAUUUUUAUUUUGCACGAUUGCGGUAAGCAUGACGAAUUCAAAGUUCAUUCGACAUCUUAUUUAUAAAUAAAUUAUGCAGCCGCUGGUUGAUACAAAAAUUCAAAUUUGAAAUUUUAUUUUUAGAUUUGCAAAUUCCUCAAAUAAAGUAUACUUUUCUAAUUCCAGACGAUUUACACACCUCGGGGAUCGUAAGCCUUGCGACACCGUAACAUUUAAUGUAGUUGUAACAGUUUUGUUUUGAAUAUUGUAGUAAAUAACUCUAUAUCAUAGCAGUAGUUAUUACGUAAUGCAUUUUUAUGGGAUGGAUCGAACUGUUGGACAUACAAUUACAAUCCUGGCAAUAAAACCUGCGAACGAAUCUACUGUGAAAAUAAUUGUGGAAAAAGCUACACACGACUAAGAAAUAUGAAAAAACAUCUAAAGUUUGAAUGUGGUGUAGAGCCUAAGUUUACAUGCGUCGAAUGUUUGAAGAAAUUUCGACACAAACAUCACCUUAAAGAACAUAUGAAGUCUGUUCAUUCGAUAACUCUUCAUUAAAGUUCGUUUCCAUGAAAUGUUUUCUUUUAAUUUUAAUUCGAACAGUCUUAUUUGUCCAAAGAAGGUUGUAUGGAAGUGACAUGAAGUUGAUAACCUUUUGUGUUUUUUGAUGAAAGGAAUUCGGUGGAAUGAUUCGAUAAACAAAAUUGGGUUAUCCUGUUGUUCGCGCCGGUUAUUUUAAAGCGUAAUGAUUGCUCAGAUGACCAAGGUGUUAUAGUAUACCGUUGUCCCAAUCAGUGUGGUCGAACGUACAAAAACUACCAUAGCGUAUCCAAACACUUGAAGUAUCGAUGUGGCGUCGAACCUCAAUUUCCAUGUCAGUACUGUGAUAAAGCAUUCCAUCAUCGACAUCACUUGAAGUAUCAUCAAACGAAACGGAAUCCAUGCACUAUCAGCAGACGGGUCUUUAAUAUUAAAAAUUGACUAAGUAUACAACGCCGGCGUGUUAAUGUUUUAUAUAUGAAGCUGAGGUGUUAAUUCAAUAAAUUCCUUUUUUUAGCAACACGAAACUUUUAUUUGAUGAUGAAAGCCAGUUAAAUGCAUCUCAUAGAGAGCUUUUCUUCGAAAUCAAAUGGAAAAUGAGAUAAAGUGGAAAGCUUUUUUCCGACCGAUUAGCUUUAAAGCUCGUCUGGAUUAACUUUUGUAAAUGCUCUGAAUAAUUUUAUGGCAAUGGAUACGGUCUGUUCAACAAUGAAAUGCCAAUGAAGCGACAAAGGAAAGGCCAAAUUUUUGCGUGUGAGAUGGGUUGCGGACGCACGUUUACGCUGCGAAAAAAU